GCGGUCGUAGUGUAGUGGCCUAGCACUAGAGUUUGUGGAACUCUCAGGGGGGGUUCGAAUCCCCUCGACCGCC
rnacentral:tRNA from 1 species